rnacentral:rRNA from 1 species
GAUGAACGCUAGCGAUAGGCUUAACACAUGCAAGUCGAGGGGCAGCAUUAUUUUAGCUUGCUAAGAUAGAUGGCGACCGGCGCACGGGUGCGUAACGCGUAUGCAACCUGCCUGUAAUUAGGGAAUAACCCGGUGAAAGUCGGACUAAUACCCUAUAUUCUUCUUUCUCCGCAUGGGGGAGGACGGAAAGAUUUAUUGAUUACAGAUGGGCAUGCGUCCCAUUAGCUGGUUGGUAAGGUAACGGCUUACCAAGGCAACGAUGGGUAGGGGGACUGAGAGGUUGACCCCCCACACUGGUACUGAGACACGGACCAGACUCCUACGGGAGGCAGCAGUGAGGAAUAUUGGUCAAUGGACGAGAGCCUGAACCAGCCAAGUCGCGUGAAGGACGACGGUUCUAUGGAUUGUAAACUUCUUUUGUAGAGGAAUAACGGCAGCUACGUGUAGCUGAGAUGCAUGUACUCUACGAAUAAGUAUCGGCUAACUCCGUGCCAGCAGCCGCGGUAAUACGGAGGAUACGAGCGUUAUCCGGAAUUAUUGGGUUUAAAGGGUGCGUAGGUGGCGUAUUAAGUCAGUGGUGAAAAGCUGCAGCUCAACUGUAGUCUUGCCGUUGAAACUGAUAUGCUAGAGAGGAGACGAGGUAUGCGGAAUGUGUGGUGUAGCGGUGAAAUGCAUAGAUAUCACACAGAACGCCGAUUGCGAAGGCAGCGUACCAGGCUCCGUCUGACACUGAAGCACGAAAGCGUGGGGAUCAAACAGGAUUAGAUACCCUGGUAGUCCACGCAGUAAACGAUGAAUACUAGAUUUUGCGAUAUAGUGUAAGAGUCUAAGCGAAAGCGAUAAGUAUUCCACCUGGGGAGUACGCCGGCAACGGUGAAACUCAAAGGAAUUGACGGGGGCCCGCACAAGCGGAGGAACAUGUGGUUUAAUUCGAUGACACGCGAGGACCCUUACCCG